rnacentral:rRNA from 1 species
CCUACGGGCGGCAGCAGUGGGGAAUAUUGGACAAUGGGGGAAACCCUGAUGCAGCAACGCCGCGUGGGUGAAGAAGUAUUUCGGUACGUAAAGCUCUGUCAGCAGGGAAGAAAAUGACGGUACCUGACUAAGAAGCCCCGGCUAACUACGUGCCAGCAGCCGCGGUAAUACGUAGGGGGCAAGCGUUAUCCGGAUUUACUGGGUGUAAAGGGAGCGUAGACGGCACUGCAAGUCUGGAGUGAAAUGCCGAGGCCCAACCCCGGGACUGCUCUGGAAACUGUGAAGCUGGAGUGCAGGAGGGGUAAGCGGAAUUCCUGGUGUAGCGGUGAAAUGCGUAGAUAUCAGGAGGAACACCGGUGGCGAAGGCGGCUUACUGGACUGUAACUGACGUUGAGGCUCGAAGGCGUGGGGAGCAAACAGGAUUAGAUACCCUGGUAGUC